rnacentral:lncRNA from 1 species
GUGUGAAGUGCUGGCACUGCAUGAAAAAAAGCACUGGAAAGGCCAUGGAGCGGCCUCAGUGGAAAAUAGCAAAUCUACCUCAGCUCUGGGAAAAGUGUGCAAGUUCAGAAAUGACGACAACCAGGAAAACCACCAACCCAGAUUCUCAACCAAAGCACACUAUGUUCAAAAGGUGAGCAUGAGUUCAUCCAAGCAUAACACACACCCAUCAUGCGCUGCAAACUUGUCACAGAAGUGGCUGUGCAUGCUGAGCCCAUACAAUCAUAGAUCCACAGACUGGUGUUGGUUGGAAGGGACCUCAGAGCCCACCCAGCCCCAACCCCUGCUGUGGGCAGGGCUGCCCCCCACCAGCUCAGGCUGCCCAGGGCCCCAUCCAACCUGGCCUUGAGCCCCUCCAGGGAUGGGGCACCACAGCCCCCAUGGCCCGGCCCUCACCUGCUUCUGGCAGUGCCAUGGCGGCCGCUGUCUCCUCCCUGUUGUUGACCUGGAGACGGCCCGGUUGCUACGGCCCGGCCUCCCCGCCCCCUUGGAUCCUGCAUGUCGGGUAUUGUGCCUGUUUCUGGUCCGUUUCCCCGCGGAGAAACCUCACUGAGGUUUCUGGUACUGCAAGACUUCAAGCCCCACACCUUGAGCAGUGAUCUUCCCAGGACAGAUGACAAGAUGCUUCCAGCACAUCAGAUACACGUAGCUCUCUGUUGGUGUGGAAGCCCCGCCUGAUCGCUGCUCACCGUUCAGCUCAUGCUGGAGAGAGGAAUGAGUUCUCCAGAUGCUGCCACGGGGUGAGGUAAGGCUGGAUAAUAGAGGAGGCAGGGAUCCAAGUGACUGCGGAGCAGGACCUCACCCCUUGUACUGAGGCUAUAAAAAGAGCCGUGGAGCUGUGCUGUCAUCUGACCUUUAGGCUGAAUGAUGCAGCGAUACAGACGGUGGAAAGCAUGCUGUUGUUAUGUCAUUCACGAGUGACCGCAUCAUGAAGCAAAGUACUGGGAUUGCAUUGGCAAGCAUAACGUCGUCCUGGAAUUGCACUGGCAAGCAUAAUGUUGUCCUGACUUGAGAAUAUUUCACCUAUCAAUAAAAGAGUUUCAUCAUUUUCUUUUCCCA